rnacentral:rRNA from 1 species
GACGUAGGGCGCGAGCGUUGUCCGGAUUUAUUGGGCGUAAAGAGCUCGUAGGCGGCUUGUCGCGUCGACCGUGAAAACUUGGGGCUCAACCCCAAGCCUGCGGUCGAUACGGGCAGGCUCGAGUUCGGUAGGGGAGACUGGAAUUCCUGGUGUAGCGGUGAAAUGCGCAGAUAUCAGGAGGAACACCGGUGGCGAAGGCGGGUCUCUGGGCCGAUACUGACGCUGAGGAGCGAAAGCGUGGGGAGCAAACAGGAUUGAGAUACCGUAG